GCAGCGUGUGCGUGUGCGCGGGCCUCGUGCGUGCGCGUGGGCACCGGCGUGUGCCUGGGCCGUCGGCGGGAGCCGGGCGUGGAGCGGACCCAUACGGUGGCGAACUGUCUCCCAAGAGGCAACGCGGGUGCAGCCCGGGGGGGCGGCCUCCCCUCGUGCGGGAAGCACUCGUCUGCACAGCCGGCGCCUGGCAGCUGCCACGGGGGCUUGAGGACGGCAGGUGAGACCGUGCCCUGACGGGAAGGUGGCGCCCCGCGAGCGCAGCUCCUGGGGACCGUCACAGAGACGGCGUGCAGGGGCUGGGCAGGUCUCCCAACCAGGCAGCAGGGCAGGCCGAGCAGCCGCCUCUAGCCCGGCGUCCCGAACAGAACCCGGCCUCCUACUAGAGAGCCAGGCGUGGCAUUUUUAGUGUCCACUCUGUCCAUCCUCUCCUUCCUUUGCUGUGAUGGCACAUGUCCAUAGCAGGGCUUCUGUAAUAACAAAAUACUACCAAGAGCUAACACCAGGCAUUGGUUCAAGUGCUUUGUACCAAUUGUACUGUUUGGAUCUUCAGCCAAUAUUAUGUGCUUUGUACCAUAUUGUACCGUUUGGAUCUUCAAUCAACAUUAUGAGACAUGAGCCAGUUUUCAGAUCCAGAACUGACUGAAGAAGAGGCCAGAUCUCCACCAAGGAAGGACCCUGUAGCACCAUGGCGAGGACUGUCUCUGGAUGGAAGACCAUCCCUGGGCUCGUGGAGACCUUAGAACAAAUCACCCAUCAGCUGCUCAGCUUCCCACCUGCACACCCUGCCCCUGAGGACCCAGCUCCUUCAUCCUGGUGUAUGCAGGUCAAAAUGGCUAUCAAGAGCUGUCUGGAUGCGGAUGAGUCACAAAAUGGGCCCAUGCGACUGAGGGGCUGAGAGAAUUGGUGGAGGCGUUACAUGUGGCUUGCCUCGGGACAUCUGGAGUUUAUGUGCAAGCUGCGGGCCCUUUCCUGUAAGUCCCAGAUGUCAGAGCCGCUUGCACCUGGGUGGGGUCGCCUUCUACCAGGAUGCGUGUCACCAGGAGUGGUCACAGAGGAAUAAGCCUAUAGCGAUGCCAGGAUGCUAUGCCGCUGUUGGCCCCCGACAGGCUCUGGCCUAGAGAACCUGCAGCAGGUGGUGCUGGAUAGGGCAGUUGAUGGUUUACGACCUAACCAGUGGAGGCUGCCUCCCUGGCUCCUGCUUCUCCUCCAUCUCAUGUUACACAUGGCCCUCAGGCCACGUGUGAACAGAUUUGGAAAUGGAAAGUUUAGUUGAUUCAAUUCAGCAGAGGUUUUCUCAGUAACACCAGGCAGGUACAAACCACACCCCAAUGAAUUUUGCAGAGCAUGGAGCUCUGGUUAAUAUAUACCAGGGGAAUUUCUAAGGUAGUAGAACUAGUGUGCAUGGGCCCACUGCAGAUGCAAAUGUUUGAGGAUAUUUUAAACAGUUCUUGUAAUUGCGGUCUAAGUUUUCAUCAUUCAGCUGCACACCUCGAGUCACUGUCCAGAGUCCCAGCCACACUUCCUGGCCUGCAUCAUA